GUGUUUUAUUUCUUUCAGGAGGAAGCUGGUCGCAAGCAAAGGGUUCGUGAUGAAGCCAAACCAGUGUCGGUGGUAGAUGAUAACUUGCUGAUUGAAAAAUUUGAAAAUCCUUUUUUGUACAACACGGUAUUGGCAGAAACACCUGAUGCCAUCAAGCAAGUCUCCGUCACCCUGGAUGUGGAAACAGCGCAUGCGUGGCUCGAGGUGUCUGAGGGUCGGAAGAGGGUGAGAUGGACCGUGACCCUGAGGAGGCUCCCUGACACCGGGAAGAGGUUUACAAACUGGGGGUGUGUGUUGGGAUCGGAAGGAUUCACUUCGG